UACGUAGGUGGCAAGCGUUGUCCGGAUUUACUGGGCGUAAAGAGCGCGCAGGCGGUCGGAUAAGUCGAAUGUGAAAGCCCCCGGCUCAACUGGGGAGGGUCAUUCGAUACUGUUCGACUCGAAGGCAGGAGAGGGAAGUGGAAUUCCCGGUGUAGUGGUGGAAUGCGUAGAUAUCGGGAGGAACAUCAGUGGCGAAGGCGGCACCCUGGCAUUAGCCUGACGCUCAUGUGCGAAAGCGUGGGGAGCGAACGGG
rnacentral:rRNA from 1 species